rnacentral:rRNA from 1 species
AGUAACGCGUGAGUAACCUGCCUUCAAGAGGGGGAUAACGUUCUGAAAAGAACGCUAAUACCGCAUGAGACUACAGAGCUGCAUGGCUCAGUGGUCAAAGGAGCAAUCCGCUGAAAGAUGGACUCGCGUCCGAUUAGAUAGUAGGCGGGGUAACGGCCCACCUAGUCGACGAUCGGUAGCCGGACUGAGAGGUUGAACGGCCACAUUGGGACUGAGACACGGCCCAGACUCCUACGGGAGGCAGCAUG